GCCGGGCGUGGUGGUGCAUGCCUGUAAUCCCAGCUACUUGGGAGGCCGAGGCACAAGAAUCGCUUGAGCCUGGGAGGUGGAAGUUGCAGUGAGCCGAGAUUGUGCCACUGCACUCUAGCCUGGGCAACAGAGUGAGACUCUGUCUCUA
rnacentral:SRP_RNA from 1 species